rnacentral:rRNA from 1 species
CGCCCGGGGCGCGCCCCGGGCGGGGCGGGGGCAUGGGGGGAACGCGAAGAACCUUACCUACUCUUGACAUCCAGAGAACUUAGCAGAGAUGCUUUGGUGCCUUCGGGAACUCUGAGACAGGUGCUGCAUGGCUGUCGUCAGCUCGUGUUGUGAAAUGUUGGGUUAAGUCCCGCAACGAGCACAACCCUUAUCCUUUGUUGCCAGCGGUUAGGCCGGGAACUCAAAGGAGACUGCCAGUGAUAAACUGGAGGAAGGUGGGGAUGACGUCAAGUCAUCAUGGCCCUUACGAGUAGGGCUACACACGUGCUACAAUGGCGCAUACAAAGAGAAGCGACCUCGCGAGAGCAAGCGGACCUCAUAAAGUGCGUCGUAGUCCGGAUUGGAGUCUGCAACUCGACUCCAUGAAGUCGGAAUCGCUAGUAAUCGUGAUCAGAAUGCCACGGUGAAUACGUUCCCGGGCCUUGUACACACCG